rnacentral:lncRNA from 1 species
CCUCUGUUGGGCGGGCUAACCCUGCCCAGAGAUGUGGCGACUGCGCGGGAGCCUCGGGCUGGGGCGGGUUGCUCCUUCUCCAGGGUCCUGGGACGAGACGGACGUGGAAGAGGAAGGCAGGGAAAUUAGGGCAGGAAGCCCAAGAGGGAAAUGUGGAUGGAACUGGAGACCAUUGUGUUAAACAAAGAGACAUUGGGAAGACAAAAUAACCAUAAGAAAACCAAACACUGCAAAUGUUUUUCUCUCUUGUGGAAGCUACAUUCAGAGAAAAAUAGGACAUGAGAGGAGAAAGGAACCAGUCUACAGAGUGGGAAUGUGACCAAAGGACAUUAUACAUAUGUGUGGAAAUGUCUUUCUACAGAUAAUAUGUGCUCGUAUAAAUGCAUGCGGGGCUGUUUGGUUAAACAUCCCCAAGAUUUCCAAGAACACACCACACCGCCAAACCACGCUCAAGCCUUCUUGAUCACACCAACUCUUUCUGAAAUUCAGACUGCAACAAAAUGUGUGCACAGGUAUCUAUUCCAAAUGUAGAACACUUUCUCCCUCACAGGUCAAUUUACUAUUAAAAAAUGAAUGAUUUUAAACUUUUGAUUAAAUUUUCAUAUUUGAA